rnacentral:rRNA from 1 species
CCAGCAGCCGCGGUAAUACGUAGGUGGCAAGCGUUGUCCGGAUUUAUUGGGCGUAAAGCGCGCGCAGGCGGUCUUUUAAGUCUGAUGUGAAAGCCCCCGGCUUAACCGGGGAGGGUCAUUGGAAACUGGAAGACUGGAGUGCAGAAGAGGAGGUGGAAUUCCACGUGUAGCGGUGAAAUGCGUAGAUAUGUGGAGGAACACCAGUGGCGAAGGCGACUCUCUGGUCUGUAACUGACGCUGAGGCGCGAA